rnacentral:rRNA from 1 species
GUUUGAUCCUGGCUCAGAACGAACGCGGGCGGCAGGCCUAACACAUGCAAGUCGAACGAACCCUUCGGGGUGAGUGGCGCACGGGUGCGUAGCACGUGGGAAUAUACACAUAGGUAAGGAAUAACUCAGGGAAACUUGCGCUAAUACCUUAUAAUAACUCCGGUUCAAAGAUUUAUCGCCUAUGGAUUAGCCCGCGCUAGAUUAGUUUGUUGGUGAGGUAAGAGCUCACCAAGACUACGAUCUAUAGCUGGUCUUAGAGGAUGAUCAGCCACACUGGAACUGAGACGCGGUCCAGACUCCUACGGGAGGCAGCAGUGAGGAAUAUUGCGCAAUGGAGGAAACUCUGACGCAGCCAUGCCGCGUGAAUGAAGAAGGCCUUAGGGUUGUAAAAUUCUUUCAGAUGCGAAGAUAAUGACGGUACCAUCAGAAGAAGCUCCGGCUAAAUUCGUG